rnacentral:lncRNA from 14 species
AUGCUGGAGGAUGGAGGCAGCAUUCCUGUUCCCUUCCACACUGCUCAGUGGAGCUGGAGAGCCCUGCACAGGAAGCACGGACAGGCUGCUCUUUGCCUUCAGGACCUCCGGGCUGUGCCUCCACAGGGAGGGGAAGGGGCUCUGCUGCUCCCGCCGGUACCUCGAGCUAAAAAUCCCAUCCACAGCCACCCCAGCCAAGCUCUCCUCCUCCCUGCAAACUGGGCUCACUUCCUCAUUCAGGUGUUCUAUGCAUCUCUAGCAACUUUGAAAACAAUACCAAAGACAGACAAAAAGGAUAAAAAGACAAAAAAAAAAAAGGACAAAAAAAAGACAAAAGGCAAGUUCCCGUCCAUGUUUACUUUGUGCGGAUGGUACAGAGCCACCCUGCCCUGGCACAGGGGCCUGGCAGUGCCCAGAGAGGGGACUGUGCCCGUGCCCCAGCCCUGCAGGGCUGCAUCGAUUUCCCCGGGGGAUGUUUGGUUCGAGAGCAGCAGGUGCUCUGGGGGAGGAGGCUCCGGGCCCGGCUGCCCCAGGCUCCUCCUGCAGCUCGGGGGCUUUGUGUGCAGCCUUGCUCCAGAGCUGGGCGAGUGCACAUCUGGCUGCUUGCUCCAGAGCUGGGUGAGUGCACAUCUGGCUGCUGUGGACCACCAGACAGAGCCCUGGCCCCCCCAGCCCUGGCUGCAGGGGAGGGGGCCAGGCUGAAGCAAUGGGCAGAGUUUUUACUACUGUGAAUGAGCUGGGAACUCCUGGGGGUGACCUCCUGUGACUUGUACAGUUGUGAGCAACAAUCACAUGUGGUACUUUUCUCUCUCCUUCCCCCCCCCAUCCCCUUUUUAUUUUUGGGUUUGUUUUUUGUUUAAACGUUGCACGUGCUGCCGUUUUUCUUACAGAAUAGCUUUGGUGGUACUUUAGCUUCUUUAUAUUGUAAAAAAAGGAAAAAAAAUCAUUAUCCAUCACAUCACGAUAAAAAUGCUUUCCAGCAAUCAAUUUAAAUAAAAAAGAAAAACACUUAAUUUACAGAUGGUACUUGGCUUUACCCAAGCAGUCUCUGUCUUUCCUUUUUCCUGGGUGCCCACCUGGGCCAGCUGCCUCCCCACAGGUGCAGCAGAGCUGCCACAUUCCUGCCUGGAAUCCCAUCCAGGGUUGGCUCCCAGCUGGCAGAAGGCAGCCAGCACCUUGCCCAGCUAAGUUAGAGCCAGGAAAAAAAGGGAAUUCUUUUCUCUUUGGGAAGAACAGGUAAGUUACAAUCUUUUCCAAAGUGAAAAUCUUUUCUUUACAGUUUAAGUGGUGCAGUUCUCACCCAGGCAGUGUUUGCUACAUUAUCAAUUUUGCCUUCCCUUAUUCCUUCAUGCCUGCACAUCCCCAACCCAAGAAACUUUAAUUUAAAGUUUCCUUCUGCAGCACACUUGGGGAGCAGCUUGAACUGAUCGAGGCUUCCAGGGAAGCUGCAACGCUCUGGCAGAGUCUCUGCAGUCCCUCAGUUCUUGUGGGCACAGGAGGGUUUGGUGAGGGCCCCAGAGCUGAAUCUGGGGUGGCUGCUGGGGCAGAGAGGAGGAACCUUGGACAAAACCCUCAGCCUGCCCUUGCUCAGCUCACUCAGCAGGAGCUGGAAGGGAACCCUGUGCUAUUGAAAGCAGAUUUUAAUGGGUUUUUAUUCCCUCUCAUGAGCAGUUUGUACUGGCCUUGACUCGGCCUUGGGUUUUAUUGGUACCAAAAGCAGAACUGGUAGAAAAAGCUGGAGAAGUCCAAGUUGAGUUGAAAAGUCCAAGCUGUGGAUCUGGGGCUGGUCCCAGCUGUGCUCCUGGCUCUGACAGCACCUCCAGGUGCUGCAGGGCUCGG